CCAGGCUCCUCUUUUAUUUUAAAUGAGUGAAUCUAUAGGCAUGUCUACUUUCAACUUGUGAUGUUCUGAGCACUAAAACACAAUUAUUACAAUAAAAAUAAUGAAAACUCUAGGAAGGUGGAACUCAUUCAGAAAAUAAAGUUCAGUAAGUACACACUAAUCAAAAGAGAAAAAUUUCUGUAGGGGGCAGACAAAAGAGGAAUAUGAGUUGCAUAUAAUUUUGAUUUUUAAAAAUGAUGCAAUGUUAAUGUGAUUUAUGUCAAUAAAACAUAAUGUGUCCUUGUUUCUGUCUGUAUAUGCAGUAAUGAAAUAAACAGUGGCAGAAAAUGAAAUUUCAGCAAGAAUUUCCCCCAAAAUGUAGGACCUCCCCUCAGAGCUAUGAAGGCUGAUAACACAGACAGUGAUGCACAUUAAUCUGAAAAUUACAUCCAGUGUGUCCAAAAAUAGACUGCUAAAUCCCCUGAGUUCCAAACAGAAUUCUUCUUGACCAUAUUUUGUCAUCCCACUCACUUCUCUCCGGUGAUUAGGAUCAAUUUCUGUGCCCAGUAGAAUGACCCGAGUCAGAUCCAUCCACAACGUGGCCAGGGUGCAGUCCUGGAUUCCAACUGCUCGGAACACUGAGAGGGUUGCCUUGGGGACACGUUCCACCCUCGGACACACAGACUUCCAAAUAUGCUGAGUACAAGGUCAUAGGUAGGGAAGUAAAAUCUGGAAAAACAUUUCAUGUAAUAACAAAAGACUCUAUGUGAGGGAGUCCUGUGUCUAACAGGAUGAUAUUCAUUGGUAUCCUCAUUCAGUUAUUAGUUGUGGGCAGACUUUUGGAAGCAUGGCCGUGACACACAUGGAGAAAUAUAUUUCAGAAAUCAUGAGUUAAUGCCUAUAGACAAGGAGAGUCUCUAUACUUGGACCUUUGGAAAACUUGUAUUCCUGGCCACCACAGGGGCCGUAUAAGUAUGCACAUUCUUAAUGAAGAGAAGAUAGAGCAAUGUAUUGGCUGCUCUUUUAAAGGAAUGUUGUGCACCUAGAGGACACCUCGUCAACCAUGACUAUGUUUUUUUGUUUGUUUGGUUGGUUGGUUGUUUUUCUGGCUUUUUGACUUUUCUAGGGCUGCUCCCAUGGAAUAUGGGGAUUCCCAGGCUAGGGGUCUAAUUGCAGCCAUAGCCGCCGGCCUAGGCCAGAGCCACAGCAAUGAUGGAUCUGAGCUGUGUCUGUGACCUACACCACAGCUCACGGCAAUGCUGGAUCCUCAACCCAUUGAGCAAGACCAGGGAUCAAACCCGCAACAUCACGGUUCCUAUUCAGAUUCAUUAACGACUGUGCCACCACGCAAACUCCCGUGACUACAUUUUCAAAGAGCCACUCCAUUAUUUUAUCAGGCCAGUUACUUCCAAAUGUUGGGACAAAGAAUAAAACCAACUGUUUCUGUGAAUUGGAGGGGAUGGUUACUCUACCUUUCCUUUGGUAUUUAUUGGUAGAUAUAAAGUGUAAUGGAAUACUAUGUUUUUGAAAAUGGCUGGUUUCUUGACCAAUGCUUGCAGGUGAAAGCUGAUAGGAAAGAGAGUGGGUGAAGCUUAUAUGUAAAUCCACCCAAAAUGUGAUUAUUUCUGAAAUAAAAGUCAUUAACUCUGAAAGUUUGCAUUAGUAUGAAGUGAAAACUUAUCAUCCUGCCACACAAAUUGUUCAUUACUCCUUCCUGUAAACGAAGAUAUAGCUCAGGUCCGCUGUGAGAAGACCAUCUUUUUGAGCACAUUCCAGCUGCUAUGGCAACUUUGUGUAAGGACUCAUUUACAUGAACUGGCUGGUGUGGAAAUUUUCACAAGAGGAGUUCCUGGGGCAAUACCAGAAAAGAGUGUUUCCAGAAUAUAAAUCCAGGGAUAGAGUGGUUUAUAACCUUAAAGAGACGGCAACACAGGAUCUCAAACUUGAAGGGUAAACCAGAAAGAAAGCAGGAGAAAUUGUAUAUGGCUCACAGAACUGUUUAUCAGAAACUAAUUGAGGUAAGGUAUGAUAUUUGGUAUGUUUAGAGACUAAUUCUCAAAAAUCAGGUACCUCCGACAUUGUUCUUAGUUUCAUACAUUUCUCAAUAGGUAGAGAAUCAAUCUCAUAAUAACAAAGUGCUCAAGUGCUGAGCUCAUACUGUUUUAAUCCAUUCUAAAAGUCUUUCAUCCCAUUAGGACAUCCCCUAAACUGUUUACCAGGAAGGAGGGGUGGAAUGAGGUCUCAGAACUCUUCAAAUUUUGCUCAUUAUUGAAAUAAAAGAAAAUAGAACAAUAUUUAUCCCAAUAAACACAAUGGCCUGUGAAAAAUCUCAGAACUUAGCGACUCCUUCUAAUUUACCUAAGUAAAUUACUUGUAGAAACAGGGCGACUUGUUUAAGGUUAAAACAGGAGGUGAUGGCAUAGUGUGAAAUAAGUUCCCUGUCUCCUGAUCCUGAAGCUACUGUUUUUCAUCAUGUUCUCCUAACCACCUUAUGCUUGCUAAACAUUGCUCCAUCCAGAGUCCAUUGAUUUCUUCAAUACAGCAUAUAGAGGCCAGGAAAUGGGAGCUGCAUCUUCAUGUCAAAAGAGGAAACUUGAACACAUCUAUGAUAUAUAGACACAUUUGUACUCAUUUUUAUUUUAGAAGCAGACUUCAUUUAUGAAAAGAGCCACAAUUAAUUCACAAAAACAAUCUUUAUAAGUUAGGUACUUGUUCAGUUGAGAAAUUCUUUAUUUGGUCCACUGUGGAGCAAUGAUUCCUGUUUUUUGUUUUUUUUUUUAAUAUACAUAUUCCUUAUAACUCCUCUCCUCAGUUUUCUAAGAGGAUUCCAGAUUCAAGGAACUAAGUGGAAAGCCAAAUGUCUAAUAGUAGUAUUAUUUUACUGAUAUGUUUUACCGCAUGUUUUUGAAAAGCACCCAAACAUAAUUGCUACUAAUAACUGUUAAUCUAAUAGAUGCAGGCUAUUGCCUUCAGAAUGGAUCAGCAAUGACAUCCUGCUGUGUAGCACUGGGAACUCUGUCUAGUCACUUAGGAUGGAACAGGAUAAUGUGAGAUAAAAGUGUUUACAUGUAUGUGUAACUGGGUCACCAUGCUGUACAGUAGAAAAAAAAUAAAAGGUAAAAAAAAAAAUAACCAAACACACAAAAAGUUCACUGCCUAUGGCAUAUAAUCAAAAAUAUAUUUAUAUAACAAAAUAUAAUCAAUUAAAAACACCAAAUCAUUAUGUGCAAUGUAAGGAUCACAGGAUAUAGAGGAAGAGUAUUUAGGCUCAAAUUGACUUACAGGUCCUAUGAUCUAAUUAAACUUUCUGAUACUCAUUUUUUUCUGUAAAUUAAGAACACAACAUCUUAACUUUAUAAUGUUGUAACCAUUACAGAACACCUCAAAAUUUUCACUUCAGCUUAAAUAGUGCGCCAUUAAAUUUUAUAAUCAUUGACAACUCAUCCCACAGAAUCAGAACUCCAAUAACCUUAGCAUAGUUGUAUCAGUUAUGUGUCAAGAGAGUACUGGCAAGUGUCUUCUUUCUAUUUCAUAUUGCACAGAAUCCUAGGUGGCAGUAGUCCCUAGAGCUUUCUGAGAACCCACUUAUUUUAUAUGUAAGCACAGUAUAUAAUUACAUAAGUAGAAAUAAUUGUUUAGUUUGUUUUUGUUUUCAGGGCUGAAUCUGCAGCAUAUAUAAGUUCAUAGGAUAGGGGUCAAAUUUGAGCAGCAGCUGCCAGCCUAUACCACAGCCACAGCAAGGCAGGAUCAGAGCCACAUCAAUGACCUACAUACCAUUCAUGGUAAUGCUAGAUACUUAAUCCACUGAGCAAAGCCAGGGAUGGACCCUACAAACUCAUGUAUCCUAGUCUGGUCUGUAACACACUGACCCAUAAAGGGAAGUAAAGUAAAAUUUUCCAUUACUACAAAAUAAGAGAGGUUCUGAGGGAAUGGUCUAUUCUCUGACAGCAUUGAAACUAUUGAAAGAGAAUCAAAUUUGGUUUCAGAAGAAUGGACAUCUGAAUACUAGCCCUGUCCCUGAUAUUGGGUGGGUUAUUUAACUUCUUGGAACUGCAUGUUCUUCAUGCGUGGGACGGGAAUAAUCAUGAUAUCUUUUAGGUGUUUUUAGAAUCAAGUGAGAUGUAAGGAAGAAAUUUUGAGUAAUAAAAUAAGAAAAUGUAAAGAUCAAGAUAGAAACAAAAUUUUCAUUUUUUGUCAUUUAUUGUCUGUACUUCUUUCCUGUUUAGUAACAUCCUAGUUGCAUUGCAGACCUCUGUAUUUUUACUGUAUAAGGAACAGGGUUUUUCAUGGGAGCAAGAAUAAUAGUGAAUACUGCUAUGGCUUUCUCCAUGGGAAAGUAGCUAUUGCUCACAAAUACACAAAAUUACAGGCACAAAGAAUAAGGUAAAACUGUAAUGAGUGAGCUACAGGUAGAGAGGACGCUUUCCUCCCUGCAAAGCUUUGAGUCCUCAAGCACACAGGAUGAACAUACUGAAUAUCAACAACAUUGUAAAACUUAUCUCAUGGAUUACCCCACCAUUACAAAUUUAAAAAAUUUAAAAAAGAAGCUAACACAAGACUAGAUUUAAUUUUCUAGCUGUAUUAAGAGAACAAAGUUUUCUUUGAGCACUGCCAUUGAUAUCAUGUGAAUUUCUGUGCCUUUAAAUGAUUUGUAUUUGCUUUUUUAUUUUAUUAUUUAUUUAUUUAUUUAUUUAUUUAUUUUGUCAUUAUAGGGCUGCACCCGCAGCAUAUGGAGGUUCCCAGGCUAGGGGUCUAAUCUGAGCUACAGCUGCUGGCCUACACCACAGCCUUAGCAACGCCAUAUCUGAACUGCAUCUUUGACCUAC
rnacentral:lncRNA from 1 species